GGAUGUGGAUGAUCUGGCUAUGACAUCUAUCACCCCAUUGAUCUCCAGGGUUGAUGUGACUGAUCUGACUGCGGGGGGGUGGGGGGAGUGGGAGCUGGGGUCCCCUUCCUCCAUCACUGGUCCAUGUGUGUCCCUCCAGAAGCUCUUUGCUCAACUUGGUGGAAGAGGACUUCCUUCCCUAAUAAAGACGAUUGUUCUUUGGUUAGGGUAUACAUAUUUAUAUUCACUUAUAACUCACUUGCCCACUCAAUCUUCAUGGUAAAUGCUCUGUAAAAAUGU
rnacentral:sRNA from 1 species